GAAAUCCUGCUUGGAAAGACUCUAGCCAAGUCACCAAUAGCGAGUCAUGGACGGAUGGGAGCAAUUUCAUACGUUAAGCGUUGACAGUCAGGUAGCAGGCCUGAAAGUGAAGGAGCCUCGAAACGAAUAAAAUGGGAAAGGCUGUGUCAACUGCAAAUGAAAUUCCCCCAAUAUCUGCACUUGAAUUUUCCCCAUAAGAGGUAAAGGUAAG
rnacentral:ncRNA from 1 species